GGCAUAGUGGUUCUUUUUUCUGCAGUGGCAUUCUGGUAUGGUGCAUCCAUGUCAUUCUAGAUUUAAUAAUUCUGGCAUGUUACAAUUCUUAAGACACCAUUUGCGAGUCUUGUACUUUUGUAUCGUGAUACGGUUUCUGUUUUGAAAAUGCCGGUGUUCAUUGCCUUCAGGAGGCCCUGUACUUUUUUUGUAUUAUUUCAGUUCCAUGCUGUAAAACUGAUUUCAGGAAACAGUUGUGUCGAACAUGUGAGAAAACAAUGUUGUAAAAUUUGUUUACCUUGCUGUUAGUAGAUACCGCUCAAUCUAUGUUUCUACUGCAUCCUGCUUGUUGUUCUCGAAGAGGCGCAUCCUCGGUCGAGACUGAUUUCCGUGUCCAAGUGAAGCCCUUGCUUGAGUUGAGAGUCCGAGAGGCGGGAUUUGGUAGGUGCUCAACAACUGCAGUGUUUAAUGUGUGAAGAAAAUGUUGUGUUUUAGUAACAGUAGUUUUGAUUCUGGUUUAGGCCGCUGCUGGGGUUUGUAUUUGUACAGCUUUACUGAUCUGUACUGUUUGAGUAGGUUUGGUACCACCCUUAGAAAUGCUGCUGGCUUUGUACAAGCUGCACGUACACAAUUCAUUUUGUGUAUGGUGGGAAUACCAUGAUGGCCAUUUCAAGUGUCGUAUGGAGGGGAGCUCCUAACCGGCGCCUUAAGCGCCGGUUCAGGAAGCUGGCAGUCACACGCCGCACCUCAUGGGCCGGCCCACCACGCGCUGAGGAAGGAAAGCUAGUGACUACAACGAACGUGAAAUGUAUAAGAACCAAUAAAUUAGCGCUAUUUAUUAGAUUUCCUAACUAUUUUAAAAACACUUCAUCAAAUUUUGAAAAAAGUUUACGAAUUAAAAAAAACAGUUCAUUGAUGUUUAAGAAAAGUUCAGUAAAUUAAAAAAAGUUCAUCUAUUUGAAAAAAUUUCAUCCUUCUUUUUUAAAAAUAUUUCAUCGCAUCUAAAAAAAGUUCAAUGAAUUUGAAAAAACGUUCAUCCUUCUUUUUAUAAGAAAAGUUCAUCAAAUCUAAAAAAAGUUCAACGAAAUUGAAAAAAACGUUCAUCCUUCUUUUUUAAAAAAAGUUCAUCAAAUCUAAAAAAAAGUUCAACGAAUUUGAAAAAACAAUCACAAUGGGACUCGAACUCCAGACAUAGCGCUGCAUGCUAACGAAGCUGGCCAGCUGGGAUACUAAUUGUGUACAUCCUAAAAACGGCGUUUGUUUUUAAGUACCAACCCAAAUGGUAGAUCCAGGGUUUUUCAACAUUUUCCAUUAAUUCUUGGAAAAAUUGAAAAUCUUAAAUAUGCGAACAAAUGUUUCGAAUAUCAUACGCAAAUUUCGAAUAUUCCUUUUCUUUUAAAUGUGAACUAUGUUUUUCAAAAGUCAAAAAGUGAACAAGUUUCGAAAAUUGAAUACUUUUUUUGUACUGUGAACAAUUUUUAGAAAGGGAAUUUAGAAUACACAUUGAACAUUUUCUUAUUAUAGGGUGAACAUCAUUCAAAGAGACACUGAACAUUUUUUUUAAAAUACGCUGAACUUUUUUUGAAUGAAUGCUGAACAAAAUUUCUCUACACGAUGAACAUUUUUUUAUACACACUGAACAUUUUUUCAAUGUAUGGUGAACAAUAUUCAAAUACACAUAGAACUUUUUUUUAAAUACGAUGAACUCGUUUUGAAUGCAUGAUGAACAAAAUUUCUAUACACGAUGAAACAUUUUUUUAUACACACUGAACAUUUUUUCAAUGUAUGGUGAACAUUUUUCCUCAAUAUGGUGAACAAAAAUUUGAAAUUCGAAACUAUUUUUGAAACGUGAACAAAAUUCGAAAACAUGAACAAAAUUUGGAAUUUCAAAAAACAUUUUCUGAAAAGGCAAACGAAUUUCGAAAAAUCUGAACAUAUUUUGGAUAUUGAAAAUAGUUCAUCCAAUUCGAAAACAGUUCAUCGAAUUUAAAAAAGUUCACUGAUUUUCAAAAAAAGUUUGUUGAAUUUGAAAAAAAGUUCAUCAAUUUUGAAAAAAGUUCAUGGAAUUUGGUGAGAAAAGUUCAUCGAUUUUGCAAAAAGUUCACCAAAUAUGAAAAAAGUUCAUAAAAUUGAAAAAAAGUUCGUCGAUUUUGAAAAAGGCAGAAAAAGGAAAAAGAAAAAAGAAAAAGAAAAGGCAAAAAGAAAAAACAACAGAAAAAAAGAAAAAAGAAAAACUCGUUAGAAGUAAAGAAGAUAGAGGAAUUAGAUAAUCGUAGAAGGUGGUUUGGCUGUGUUGGUUAGCGCACUCUGCGCGAUUCCUUGUCACUUCGUUUUUUGCAGCAAGUCGGGCUCCCUGGUUUUUGUGGGCCGUGGGAGGCACGGCCUAGCAAGGAUUGCUGCCCCGCUCCUAAUUCAUCGAGUGGGUUUGUUUUGCUCUGUGCAGGGUUAUCUUAGUUUGUACCACAUUGGUUGUGGAGGAAAGAGUGUCAGGGGGGUACGAUCAAAAAAAAAAAAGAGUGUCAGGGGUGGCCGGGUAUAAGAUGGGAUAGCAGGCGAGCCGUUAGAGGCAUCUUUGCGCUUGGGGCAAUGACGCAGCUAGUGAGGUUAUACCGAGGCGCGUCAAUUGCUGGUUGAAAACUAUUUCCAAACCCCCUCUUUGGCCCUCCCGGGCCACUGAGAAUUUCUGAAAGGGCUCCUUUCCUUCGGGGAGGGUAAAGCCCUACAAAUAUGAAGAUGAAAGUAUUUGUUCAGUUUUUUAGCUACAUGGCCUAAGACCAGAGGGAGUACUAGUUUCUUCUCAAACGGGACUUAGUACUGGUUGUUUCUCUCAGAUCAGCGGAUACUGAAGAUAAUGAAAUUUUCAAUGACUUACAGCACGAUUGAUGCUGCCGUUCCACAGAAAUGUAAGCAGAAAUGCACAAACGUAAGCUAGUACGGCUACAGAUGAAGCUGCCGCGGAUCUGUGUACCAUUAGUAACAUCAGUAGCACAAAUGCAAAGCCUCAUCACCGAAAUACUAUAUUGAUUCUGAUGUUACUAAAGCCUGAUCACCGUCGAUGUGCAUGUAGGAUUAGUAGACACCUGUAAGAACAAGAUUACCACACCACCCGUCCUUGUCUCGCCCGUCUGGUUGUGGGUUGUACUAAUGUACUGUUCGGAGACACACGUGGUUUGUUCGCUCUUUGCUGUCAAAAGAGUGAGUAAUGAGAGUUGGGGAACAGGUGAUGCAACUGCCGGAUGAGAAAGCACAUAUCAUCAGUACAGGCCACUGCCAUGGCCUUCUUCUCCCUCUUGCUCCUCCUCCUCCUGCUUCUCGCCGCCCAUGGCGUGUCCCUUUUGAAAGUACUUCACAGACGAUACAGCGCUGAACAACACUCGGACGAUGGCUAAUCCAGCCGUUGGUUGUUGUUUCAGCCUUGCUCAUGGAUGGCGUGAUACGUAUGUCGUGCAUGUAUCGUUUGCUAAAUGUCGUCUAUGUAGCAGUGCUCUGUCCCCUUCACGCGGAGCGACUUCCCACCGGGCCUCGUCUUUGGCGCCACCACCUCCGCAUGCCAGGUGACUGAAUAUUGGUUUGGAUUUAUCAGCUACUCCCUGUCUCCCUCCGUCCUAGACUCCUAGUACAAUAUAAGAAUGUUCUACAAGCCACUAGUGUUAAAAAAAACGUUUUACAUUAUGAUAUCGAGGGAGUAGAAGGGAGUAGCAGCGAUCUCUUACAAAAGUCACUCUGUUUCUCCUGCCCUCAGUGCGCUGCUCUGGUUAAUUUGCUCUGUUUUUUAAUGCAGUACGAGGGCGCUGUUGCUGAGGAUGGCAAGAGCUCAAGCAUCUGAUCUGGGACAACUUCACUCACGCUGGUAAUCAACGAACUUGUCGGUUUCCGUCAGUUUUCAAAACAAAACAAAAAUCUGUUCUCUUCUGACGGGUACUCUAUGAGUUUAUACACUCAAAUUAGCCAAUAUUAGAGCAGGGUAUACACAAAUGAGAGAGUAUAUAAUCAGUUGGUAAGCAACACGUCUUUCUUUCCCAUUUCGCAAGGUAGCUAGGGCAAAGCCUUCUUUCCCUCUACCUCUGUCGGGGAUAUACCCCGCGGUGUAACCCGGCCGUAAGGUAUAACCUGCUGAAAUCUGAGAUGGGCUCUAGGCCCAUAUUGCAAUUUCUGAAAAAUCUCUAAGGGCCCAUGUGAGUUAUAUGGCACUAGGUGUGGUGGGAAGUUUAGUCCCACUCCGGGAAGUGGAAGGAGAGUUGGAGUGGUUUAUAAGGGUUUCUCUUCUACAUGCUAUUGGAGCUUGAGAAGAGAAGAGCCCUCGCGCACUCCUCCUCCGCCGCCCGCCUCGCCACGCCACGCCACGCCUCGUCACGACGCGCCGCGCCGCGGGUUGCGGGAUUGAGCCGAGCCGAGCUCACACCUACGCGCUUAUUUUUGCCAGUCACUAACGGAGAGUUUUCUGACAGCUGGGCCACGAUCUGAGACGUCGGAUCGUGGGGCUGUCACGGACUCGGACGUGGGUCGAGCCCACGUCUCUCCACGCGGCUGCGCCUAUAAGUAUGCGGUGUCUCCUAACCCUAGCCGCCACGAACAGAUCACAUCUGCUCACGCGCACGCCCACCGUCGUUCCUCUGCUGCUGCUGCCGCCGGUGACUCCAUCCCGUCCGCCACGUACACGGUCGACGGGAGAGCAGGUCUCCGAAACCACGCCCUUCUGGUUCCUGUACGGGGUGAGGGGCGAAUAGGUUUUUGAGCAGCGAUUACGCGACUGCUCGCUUCCGAUCGUCUACUUCCUCUACGUUCGCGUCGCCUUCGUCAUCACCAUGUCCACCGACGCCGACCGUGCCGCCGCCGAGAAAGCUGAAGCUGACAAGAAGGUCGCCGAGGACGCCGCUGCUGCCACCAAAGCCGCGGCCUCUGCGUGGCCUACUGGAGGGUAUAACUCGUUUAUCCCGCUCCUGAUUAUUUUCAUAUUAGCAGUACUAGCAGUAUGUGUAGAUUUGUCUACUGUUUGCUUAGUACGUGCAUGUUUAGAUCAGAGUGAGUACGUCAUCAACUUAGUCAAUGCCAUGCUAGUGAUUUACUCAUGGAUUAAUUUAAUCGAGAAAUUGCCUAUUUACUCAACAAUCCAAAAACCUAUCAUGUGUAGGAAUUUCUCGGCAAGUGGCUUUGCCGCUGCACUGAAACCGGAUAAGUUUACCGGUACAUACUUCAAGCGUUGGCAGACUAAGACCACGUUAUGGCUCACGGCUAUGAACGUGUUCUGGGUCACCGGUGUCUCCACGGGAACGAUUGCUCCUGAACAGGAGAAGGCGUUCAAGGAGGCUACCGUUGUGUUUCUCGGAGCAGUUCUUAGCGUGAUCGGAGAUAAACUGGUCGACGCAUAUUUACAUGUGCAUGUCGCCAAGGACUUGUGGGAGGCGCUCGAAUCUAAAUUCGGGGCCGCCGAUGCAGGGAGCGAGAUGUAUAUUAUAGAGCAGUUCCACGAUUACAAGAUGGUUGAAAACCGUCCUGUAUUGGAGCAGGCUCAUGAGAUAAUAUGCAUUGUUAAGGAACUUGAGCUUCUCAAGUGCGAGUUACCAGGCAAGUUUGUCGCGGGCUGCAUAAUCGCUAAGCUCCCUAAUUCCUGGAGGAACUUUGCCACCACUCUGAAACAUCAGAGGCGUGAAUUCUCUGUGGAGGAUGUCAUUGGCCAUCUGAGUGUUGAGCAGAAUUCGAGGGCAAAAGACUCGCACGGAAAAGGGGCCGAAGGGACUUCUGUUGCCAACAUGGUGAACCAGAAGAACUUCAACUCCCACAAGCCCAAGGGAAAGAACGGUGUCCAACACAAUACCGACUUUAAGAAGAAGGGUAAGAAGACCUUCAAGAAGAACAAGAAGGACGAGGGCUGCUUUACUUGUGGUUCGGUUGAACAAUGGGCCAACAAGUGCCCAAACAAGUACAAGAAGUCAGGACAGGACUCCAAGUCUGUCAACAUGAUUGUGGGCAACAAUGAGAAUGGUGCAUCUGGGUACGGUAAUUUAUUUACUGUUUUUUCAGUGUUUCAACCCAACGAUUGGUGGGUGGACACAGGUGCAGGUGUUCAUGUGUGUGCUGACAUUUCAUUGUUCACUUCUUACCAGGUCACAGGUCACGGGUCCGUAUUGAUGGGGAAUGGCGCGAGUGCUUCUGUUCAUGGUGUUGGCACGGUCGAUCUGAAGUUUACUUCGGGAAGGAUCGUGCAGCUGAAGAACGUGCAGCAUGUCCCCGCCAUCAAGAAGAACCUCGUUAGUGGCUCCCUUCUAUGUAGAGAAGGGUUUAAGUUGGUUUUCGAGUCUAAUAAAUUAGUUGUUACAAAAUAUGGACUCUUUGUUGGAAAAGGUUAUGAGAGCGGAGGGAUGUUCCGCCUUUCCCUCGCAGAUUUUUGUAAUAAAGUCGUGAACCAUAGUCAUGUCCUGAAUAAAGUUCCGACAAAGGAUAGUGAGAUCACUCCCUAUUAGAAAUGGGCAAAGAGAAGGACGACACUCUCGUACUUGCGCACUUGGGGCUGUUUGGCGAAAGUCAACGUGCCGAUCCCCAAAAAGCGUAAGCUUGGACAUAAGACCGUGGACUGCAUUAAUUUGGGCUACGCUAAGAACAGCGUUGGCUAUAGAUUUCUAGUAGUGAAAUCUGAGGUACUUGACCAGAAGAUCGGUACAAUUAUGGAGUCUAAGGAUGCUACAUUCUUUGAGGAUAUUUUUCCUAUGAGAGAUAUGCAAAGCACUUCUAGACAGGAAUCUGAGGAGACUCCUGAACCUGCCAUCCCUAUGGAAUAUUAUGAACAAACACAUGAUGAAAAUCCCGAGGAGGAUGACGAGGAAACCCUUGGUAGGGGCAAGAGACAAAGGACUGCAAAGACCUUUGGUGAUGAUUUCUUCGUGUACCUCGUGGAUGAUACUCCCACUUCUAUUUCAGAAGCGUAUGCCUCUCCAGAAGCUGACUACUGGAAGGAUGCGGUCCGUAGCGAGAUGGAUUCCAUCAUGGCUAACGGGACAUGGGAGAUCACUGACCGUCCCUAUGGUUGCAAACCACUGGGAUGUAAGUGGGUGUUCAAAAAGAAGCUUAGGCCCGAUGGUACGAUUGAAAAGUACAAGGCUAGGCUUAUGGCCAAGGGCUAUGACCAGCAAGAAGAGGAAGAUUUCUUUGAUACUUAUUCACCUGUGGCUAGACUGACCACCAUUCGAGUAUUACUCUCGUUGGCGGCCUCACAUGGUCUUCUCGUCCAUCAGAUGGAUGUUAAGACGGCUUUUCUAAAUGGAGAGCUAAAGGAGGAAAUCUACAUGCAACAGCCUGAUGGCUUUGUGAUAGAUGGUCAGGAAAGAAAGGUGUGUAGGUUGAUAAAAUCUUUAUAUGGCCUGAAACAAGCACCUAAGCAAUGGCAUGAUAAGUUUAAUACAACUCUGACAUCUGUUGGUUUCGUAGUUAAUGAGGCUGACAAAUGUGUAUAGUAUCGCCAUGGUGGGGGCGAAGGAGUUAUACUGUGCUUGUAUGUUGAUGACAUACUGAUAUUCGGAACAAACCUCAAAGUCAUUGAGGAGGUCAAAUCGUUUCUAUCUCAGAACUUUGAGAUGAAAGACCUUGGUGUGGCUGAUGUUAUCUUGAACAUCAAGCUACUGAGAGAUAAUGAGGGUGGGAUCACACUUCUGCAAUCCCAUUACGUUGAGAAGGUGUUGAGUCGCUUUGGAUAUUCGGACUGCACACCAUCUCAAACACCAUAUGAUCCUAGCGUAUUGAUUCGAAAGUCCAAAGGCAUGGCUAAAGAUCAAUUGAGAUACUCUCAAAUCAUUGGUUCACUGAUGUACCUAGCGAGCGCAACGAGGCCUGACAUCGCGUUUGCUGUGAGCAAACUGAGCCGGUUUGUUUCCAAACCGGGUGAUGUACAUUGGCAUGCUGUUGAGAGAGUUAUGCGCUAUCUGAAAGGUACUAUGAACUAUGGACUUCACUAUACCGGAUACCCGUCGGUACUUGAAGGGUAUAGUGAUGCGAAUUGGAUCUCUGAUGCUGAUGAGAUGAAGGCCACAACUGGGUAUAUGUUUACUCUUGGAGGUGGCGCUAUUUCCUAGAAGUCUUGCAAGCAAACUAUCUUAACGAGAUCGACAAUGGAAGCAGAAUUAACGGCAUUAGACACAUCUGGUGUUGAAGCGAGAUGGCUUCGAGAUCUUUUGAUGGACUUGCCAUUGGUUGAUAAACCGGUUCCGGCUAUCCUUAUGAACUGUGACAAUCAGACUGUCAUCACCAAGGUGAAGAGUUCAAAGGACAACAUGAAGUCCACCAAACACAUAAGAAUGAGAUUAAAAGCUGUCAGAAAAUUAAGAAACUCCGGAGUGAUAGCGUUGGACUAUGUCCAUACGGCUAAGAAUCUGGCAGAUCCCUUUACAAAAGGGCUAUCACGUGUUGUGAUAGAUAAUGCAUCGAGGGAGAUGGGUAUGAGACCCACAUGAGUUGCCAUGGUGGUAACCCAACCUAUGUGAUCGGAGAUCCCGUGAACUAGGACCUGGGAAAACAAGCCAGUGGUGAACUGAGGAGAGUAACUAUACUAACCCACUCCGUUGGAGAUGCAAUACUCUCGAUACUGUAUGGUAGGANNNNNNNNNNCCGGAUACCCGUCGGUACUUGAAGGGUAUAGUGAUGCGAAUUGGAUCUCUGAUGCUGAUGAGAUGAAGGCCACAACUGGGUAUAUGUUUACUCUUGGAGGUGGCGCUGUUUCCUGGAAGUCUUGCAAGCAAACGAUCUUAACGAGAUCGACAAUGGAAGCAGAAUUAACGGCAUUAGACACAUCUGGUGUUGAAGCGAGAUGGCUUCGAGAUCUUUUGAUGGACUUGCCAUUGGUUGAUAAACCGGUUCCGGCUAUCCUUAUGAACUGUGACAAUCAGACUGUCAUCACCAAGGUGAAGAGUUCAAAGGACAAUAUGAAGUCCACCAAACACAUAAGAAUGAGAUUAAAAGCUGUCAGAAAAUUAAGAAACUCCGGAGUGAUAGCAUUGGACUAUGUCCAUACGGCUAAGAAUCUGGCAGAUCCCUUUACAAAAGGGCUAUCACGUGUUGUGAUAGAUAAUGCAUCGAGGGAGAUGGGUAUGAGACCCACAUGAGUUGCCAUGGUGGUAACCCAACCUAUAUGAUCGGAGAUCCCGUGAACUAGGACCUGGGAAAACAAGCCAGUGGUGAACUGAGGAGAGUAACUAUACUAACCCACUCCGUUGGAGAUGCAAUACUCUCGAUACUGUAUGGUAGGAUGACUACGGUCUCAAUGUGUUCCAAAGCUUAUAAAAGCAAGAUGCUAUCCUACAGAGCGAUCUUUGGAGGAACACACCUAUAUGAGCCCGACUGCUGGUCACAGUCUAUGAGAUUGGGGUGAUCUCUAGUAAGCUCAUGAAUAGGCCAGGAGUGUGACUUAUAUGCUCCACCCGAGGGGUCAGCCUUCGGCAGCCUAGUACUAGUAAGACAUGUAGUGAAACUUCUUUACGCCAAACUGACAAUUCAAGGCAUAGUCCAUUGUUCAGUUGUGAAGGAGUGUAGCCACUUGUUCUAGGUGAAGUUCAACCUUAACAGGUCUUUACUGAAACAUUGGUAUAUCGAAACAGCAAUUGGAACAGAGGACACAAUGGGCCCUCGAGAUCUGGUGGGGGAUUGCUGAAAUCUGAGAUGGGCUCUAGGCCCAUAUUGCAAUUUCUGAAAAAUCUCUAAGGGCCCAUGUGGGUUAUAUGGCACUAGGUGUGGUGGGAAGUUUAGUCCCACCCCGGAAGUGGAAGGAGAGUUGGAGUGGUUUAUAAGGGUUUCUCUUCUACAUGCUAUUGGAGCUUGAGAAGAGAAGAGGCCCUCGCGCACUCCUCCUCCGCCGCCCGCCUCGCCACGCCACGCCUCGUCACGACGCGCCGCGGGUUGCGGGAUUGAGCCGAGCCGAGCUCACACCUACGCGCUUAUUUUUGCCAGUCACUAACGGAGAGUUUUCUGACAGCUGGGCCACGAUCUGAGACGUCGGAUCGUGGACUGUCACGGACUCGGACGUGGGUCGAGCCCACGUCUCUCCACGCGGCUGCGCCUAUAAGUAUGCGGUGUCUCCUAACCCUAGCCGCCACGAACAGAUCACAUCUACUCACGCGCACGCCCACCGUCGUUCCUUUGCUGAUGCUGCCGCCGGUGACUCCAUCUCGUCCGCCACGUACACGGUCAAUGGGAGAGCAGGUCUCCGAAACCACGCCCUUCUGGUUCCUGUACGGGGUGAGGGGCGAAUAGGUUUUUGGGCAGCGAUUACGCGACUGCUCGCUUCCGAUCGUCUACUUCCUCUACGUCUGCGUCGCCUUCAUCAUCACCAUGUCCACCGACGCCGACCGUGCCGCCGCCGAGAAAGCUGAAGCCGACAAGAAGGUCGCCGAGGACGCCGCUGCUGCCACCAAAGCCGCGGCCUCUGCGUGGCCUACUGGAGGGUAUAACUCGUUUAUCCCGCUCCUGAUUAUUUUCAUAUUAGCAGUACUAGCAGUAUGUGUAGAUUUGUCUACUGUUUGCUUAGUACGUGCAUGUUUAGAUCAGAGUCAGUACGUCAUCAACUUAGUCAAUGCCAUGCUAGUGAUUUACUCAUGGAUUAAUUUAAUCGAGAAAUUUCCUAUUUACUCAACAAUCCAAAAACCUAUUAUGUGUAGGAAUUUCUCGGCAAGUGGUUUUGCCGCUGCACUGAAACCGGAUAAGUUUACCGGUACAUACUUCAAGCGUUGGCAUGGCUAAAGAUCAAUUGAGAUACUCUCAAACACCAUAUUUGGAUAUUUGGAUAUUCGGACUGCACACCAUCUCAAACACCAUAUGAUCCUAGCGUAUUGAUUCGAAAGUCCAAAGGCAUGGCUAAAGAUCAAUUGAGAUACUCUCAAAUCAUUGGUUCACUGAUGUACCUAGCGAGCGCAACGAGGCCUGACAUCGCGUUUGCUGUGAGCAAACUGAGCCGGUUUGUUUCCAAACCGGGUGAUGUACAUUGGCAUGCUGUUGAGAGAGUUAUGCGCUAUCUGAAAGGUACUAUGAACUAUGGACUUCACUAUACCGGAUACCCGUCGGUACUUGAAGGGUAUAGUGAUGCGAAUUGGAUCUCUGAUGCUGAUGAGAUGAAGGCCACAACUGGGUAUAUGUUUACUCUUGGAGGUGGCGCUGUUUCCUGGAAGUCUUGCAAGCAAACGAUCUUAACGAGAUCGACAAUGGAAGCAGAAUUAAUGGCAUUAGACACAUCUGGUGUUGAAGCGAGAUGGCUUCGAGAUCUUUUGAUGGACUUGCCAUUGGUUGAUAAACCGGUUCCGGCUAUCCUUAUGAACUGUGACAAUCAGACUGUCAUCACCAAGGUGAAGAGUUCAAAGGACAACAUGAAGUCCACCAAACACAUAAGAAUGAGAUUAAAAGCUGUCAGAAAAUUAAGAAACUCCGGAGUGAUAGCGUUGGACUAUGUCCAUACGGCUAAGAAUCUGGCAGAUCCCUUUACAAAAGGGCUAUCACGUGUUGUGAUAGAUAAUGCAUCGAGGGAGAUGGGUAUGAGACCCACAUGAGUUGCCAUGGUGGUAACCCAACCUAUGUGAUCGGAGAUCCCGUGAACUAGGACCUGGGAAAACAAGCCAGUGGUGAACUGAGGAGAGUAACUAUACUAACCCACUCCGUUGGAGAUGCAAUACUCUCGAUACUGUAUGGUAGGACGACUACGGUCUCAAUGUGUUCCAAAGCUUAUAAAAGCAAGAUGCUAUCCUACAGAGCGAUCUUUGGAGGAACACACCUAUAUGAGCCCGACUGCUGGUCACAGUCUAUGAGAUUGGGGUGAUCUCUAGUAAGCUCAUGAAUAGGCCAGGAGUGUGACUUAUAUGCUCCACCCGAGGGGUCAGCCUUCGGCAGCCUAGUACUAGUAAGACAUGUAGUGAAACUUCUUUACGCCAAACUGACAAUUCAAGGCAUAGUCCAUUGUUCAGUUGUGAAGGAGUGUAGCCACUUGUUCUAGGUGAAGUUCAACCUUAGCAGGUCUUUACUGAAACACUGGUAUACCGAAACAGCAAUUGGAACAGAGGACACAAUGGGCCCUCGAGAUCUGGUGGGGGAUUGCUGAAAUCUGAGAUGGGCUCUAGGCCCAUAUUGCAAUUUCUGAAAAAUCUCUAAGGGCCCAUGUGGGUUAUAUGGCACUAGGUGUGGUGGGAAGUUUAGUCCCACCCCGGAAGUGGAAGGAGAGUUGGAGUGGUUUAUAAGGGUUUCUCUUCUACAUGCUAUUGGAGCUUGAGAAGAGAAGAGGCCCUCGCGCACUCCUCCUCCGCCGCCCGCCUCGCCACGCCACGCCUCGUCACGACGCGCCGCGGGUUGCGGGAUUGAGCCGAGCCGAGCUCACACCUACGCGCUUAUUUUUGCCAGUCACUAACGGAGAGUUUUCUGACAGCUGGGCCACGAUCUGAGACGUCGGAUCGUGGACUGUCACGGACUCGGACGUGGGUCGAGCCCACGUCUCUCCACGCGGCUGCGCCUAUAAGUAUGCGGUGUCUCCUAACCCUAGCUGCCACGAACAGAUCACAUCUGCUCACGCGCACGCCCACCGUCGUUCCUUUGCUGCUGCUGCCGCCGGUGACUCCAUCCCGUCCGCCACGUACACGGUCGACGGGAGAGCAGGUCUCCGAAACCACGCCCUUCUGGUUCCUGUACGGGGUGAGGGGCGAAUAGGUUUUUGGGCAGCGAUUACGCGACUGCUCGCUUCCGAUCGUCUACUUCCUCUACGUCCGCGUCGCCUUCAUCGUCACCAUGUCCACCGACGCCGACCGUGCCGCCGCCGAGAAAGCUGAAGCCGACAAGAAGGUCGCCGAGGACGCCGCUGCUGCCACCAAAGCCGCGGCCUCUGCGUGGCCUACUGGAGGGUAUAACUCGUUUAUCCCGCUCCUGAUUAUUUUCAUAUUAGCAGUACUAGCAGUAUGUGUAGAUUUGUCUACUGUUUGCUUAGUACGUGCAUGUUUAGAUCAGAGUCAGUACAUCAUCAACUUAGUCAAUGCCAUGCUAGUGAUUUACUCAUGGAUUAAUUUAAUCGAGAAAUUGCCUAUUUACUCAACAAUCCAAAAACCUAUUAUGUGUAGGAAUUUCUCGGCAAGUGGUUUUGCCGCUGCACUGAAACCGGAUAAGUUUACCGGUACAUACUUCAAGCGUUGGCAGACUAAGACCACGUUAUGGCUCACGGCUAUGAACGUGUUCUGGGUCACCGGUGUCUCCACGGGAACGAUUGCUCCUGAACAGGAGAAGGCGUUCAAGGAGGCUACCGUUGUGUUUCUCGGAGCAGUUCUUAGCGUGAUCGGAGAUAAACUGGUCGACGCAUAUUUACAUGUGCAUGUCGCCAAGGACUUGUGGGAGGCGCUCGAAUCUAAAUUCGGGGCCGCCGAUGCAGGGAGCGAGAUGUAUAUUAUAGAGCAGUUCCACGAUUACAAGAUGGUUGAAAACCGUCCUGUAUUGGAGCAGGCUCAUGCGAUAAUAUGCAUUGUUAAGGAACUUGAGCUUCUCAAGUGCGAGUUACCGGGCAAGUUUGUCGCGGGCUGCAUAAUCGCUAAGCUCCCUAAUUCCUGGAGGAACUUUGCCACCACUCUGAAACAUCAGAGGCGUGAAUUCUCUGUGGAGGAUGUCAUUGGCCAUCUGAGUGUUGAGCAGAAUUCGAGGGCAAAAGACUCGCACGGAAAAGGGGCCGAAGGGACUUCUGUUGCCAACAUGGUGAACCAGAAGAACUUCAACUCCCACAAGCCCAAGGGAAAGAACGGUGUCCAACACAAUACCGACUUUAAGAAGAAGGGUAAGAAGACCUUCAAGAAGAACAAGAAGGACGAGGGCUGCUUUACUUGUGGUUCGGUUGAACAUUGGGCCAACAAGUGCCCAAACAAGUACAAGAAGUCAGGACAGGACUCCAAGUCUGUCAACAUGAUUGUGGGCAACAAUGAGACUGGUGCAUCUGGGUACGGUAAUUUAUUUACUGUUUUUUCAGUGUUUCAACCUAACGAUUGGUGGGUGGACACAGGUGCAGGUGUUCAUGUGUGUGCUGACAUUUCAUUGUUCACUUCUUACCAGGUCACAGGUCACGGGUCCGUAUUGAUGGGGAAUGGCGCGAGUGCUUCUGUUCAUGGUGUUGGCACGGUCGAUCUGAAGUUUACUUCGGGAAGGAUCGUGCAGCUGAAGAACGUGCAGCAUGUCCCCGCCAUCAAGAAGAACCUCGUUAGUGGCUCCCUUCUAUGUAGAGAAGGGUUUAAGUUGGUUUUCGAGUCUAAUAAAUUAGUUGUUACAAAAUAUGGACUCUUUGUUGGAAAAGGUUAUGAGAGCGGAGGGAUGUUCCGCCUUUCCCUCGCAGAUUUUUGUAAUAAAGUCGUGAACCAUAUUCAUUCGAAUGUUAAUGAAUCUGAAGUUUGGCAUUCACGUCUUUGUCACAUUAGUUUUGGUGUUAUGACGCGGCUAGCCAAGUUGGAUUUAAUCCCGAGUUUCACUUUAGCCAAAGGUUCUCAGUGCCUUUCAUGUGUGCAAGCUAAGCAACCUCGCAAGCCUCAUAAGGCCGCGGAGGAGAGACACCUGGCACCAUUAGAACUCAUACAUUCUGAUCUUUGCGAGAUGAAUGGUGUGUUGACUAAAGGUGGAAAGAGAUACUUCAUGACAUUGAUAGAUGAUUCCACUAGAUAUUGCUAUGUGUAUCUGUUAAAUACUAAAGAUGAGGCUCUACACUACUUUAAAAUCUAUAAGGCAGAAGUUGAAAAUCAACUUGAAAAGAAAAUUAAACGAGUCCGGUCAGAUCGUGGUGGAGAGUACUUCUCGAGUGAGUUUGAUUCCUUCUGUGCGGAACACGACAUUAUUCAUGAGAGGACGCCUCCCUAUUCACCCCAGUCAAACGGGGUUGCCGAGCGGAAAAACCGUACUCUAACUGAUUUGGUUAACGCCAUGUUAGAUACAUCGGGUUUAUCCAAGGCAUGGUGGGGGGAGGCUAUAUUGACGGCAUGUCAUGUCCUGAAUAAAGUUCCGACAAAGGAUACUGAGAUCACUCCCUAUGAGAAAUGGGCAAAGAGAAGGACGACACUCUCGUACUUGCGCACUUGGGGCUGUUUGGCGAAAGUCAACGUGCCGAUCCCCAAAAAGCGUAAGCUUGGACAUAAGACCGUGGACUGCAUUAAUUUGGGCUACGCUAAGAACAGCGUUGGCUAUAGAUUUCUAGUAGUGAAAUCUGAGGUACCUGACCAGAAGAUCGGUACAAUUAUGGAGUCUAAGGAUGCUACAUUCUUUGAGGAUAUUUUUCCUAUGAGAGAUAUGCAAAGCACUUCUAGACAGGAAUCUGAGGAGACUCCUGAACCUGCCAUCCCUAUGGAAUAUUAUGAACAAACACAUGAUGAAAAUCCCGAGGAGGAUGACGAGGAAACCCUUGGUAGGGGCAAGAGACAAAGGACUGCAAAGACCUUUGGUGAUGAUUUCUUCGUGUACCUCGUGGAUGAUACUCCCACUUCUAUUUCAGAAGCGUAUGCCUCUCCAGAAGCUGACUACUGGAAGGAUGCGGUCCGUAGCGAGAUGGAUUCCAUCAUGGCUAAAGGGACAUGGGAGAUCACUGACCGUCCCUAUGGUUGCAAACCACUGGGAUGUAAGUGGGUGUUCAAAAAGAAGCUUAGGCCCGAUGGUACGAUUGAAAAGUACAAGGCUAGGCUUGUGGCCAAGGGCUAUGACCAGCAAGAAGAGGAAGAUUUCUUUGAUACUUAUUCACCUGUGGCUAGACUGACCACCAUUCGAGUAUUACUCUCGUUGGCGGCCUCACAUGGUCUUCUCGUCCAUCAGAUGGAUGUUAAGACGGCUUUUCUAAAUGGAGAGCUAAAGGAGGAAAUCUACAUGCAACAGCCUGAUGGCUUUGUGAUAGAUGGUCAGGAAAGAAAGGUGUGUAGGUUGAUAAAAUCUUUAUAUGGCCUGAAACAAGCACCUAAGCAAUGGCAUGAUAAGUUUAAUACAACUCUGACAUCUGUUGGUUUCGUUGUUAAUGAGGCUGACAAAUGUGUAUACUAUCGCCAUGGUGGGGGCGAAGGAGUUAUACUGUGCUUGUAUGUUGAUGACAUACUGAUAUUCGGAACAAACCUCAAAGUCAUUGAGGAGGUCAAAUCGUUUCUAUCUCAGAACUUUGAGAUGAAAGACCUUGGUGUGGCUGAUGUUAUCUUGAACAUCAAGCUACUGAGAGAUACUGAGGGUGGGAUCACACUUCUGCAAUCCCAUUACGUUGAGAAGGUGUUGAGUCGUUUUGGAUAUUCGGACUGCACACCAUCUCAAACACCAUAUGAUCCUAGCGUGUUGAUUCGAAAGUCCAAAGGCAUGGCUAAAGAUCAAUUGAGAUACUCUCAAAUCAUUGGUUCACUGAUGUACCUAGCGAGCGCAACGAGGCCUGACAUCGCGUUUGCUGUGAGCAAACUGAGCCGGUUUGUUUCCAAACCGGGUGAUGUACAUUGGCAUGCUGUUGAGAGAGUUAUGCGCUAUCUGAAAGGUACUAUGAACUAUGGACUUCACUAUACCGGAUACCCGUCGGUACUUGAAGGGUAUAGUGAUGCGAAUUGGAUCUCUGAUGCUGAUGAGAUGAAGGCCACAACUGGGUAUAUGUUUACUCUUGGAGGUGGCGCUGUUUCCUGGAAGUCUUGCAAGCAAACGAUCUUAACGAGAUCGACAAUGGAAGCAGAAUUAACGGCAUUAGACACAUCUGGUGUUGAAGCGAGAUGGCUUCGAGAUCUUUUGAUGGACUUGCCAUUGGUUGAUAAACCGGUUCCGGCUAUCCUUAUGAACUGUGACAAUCAAACUGUCAUCACCAAGGUGAAGAGUUCAAAGGACAACAUGAAGUCCACCAAACACAUAAGAAUGAGAUUAAACGCUGUUAGAAAAUUAAGAAACUCCGGAGUGAUAGCGUUGGACUAUGUCCAUACGGCUAAGAAUCUGGCAGAUCCCUUUACAAAAGGGCUAUCACGUGUUGUGAUAGAUAAUGCAUCGAGGGAGAUGGGUAUGAGACCCACAUGAGUUGCCAUGGUGGUAACCCAACCUAUAUGAUCGGAGAUCCCGUGAACUAGGACCUGGGAAAACAAGCCAGUGGUGAACUGAGGAGAGUAACUAUACUAACCCACUCCGUUGGAGAUGCAAUACUCUCGAUACUGUAUGGUAGGAUGACUACGGUCUCAAUGUGUUCCAAAGCUUAUAAAAGCAAGAUGCUAUCCUACAGAGCGAUCUUUGGAGGAACACACCUAUAUGAGCCCGACUGCUGGUCACAGUCUAUGAGAUUGGGUGAUCUCUAGUAAGCUCAUGAAUAGGCCAGGAGUGUGACUUAUAUGCUCCACCCGAGGGGUCAGCCUUCGGCAGCCUAGUACUAGUAAGACAUGUAGUGAAACUUCUUUACGCCAAACUGACAAUUCAAGGCAUAGUCCAUUGUUCAGUUGUGAAGGAGUGUAGCCACUUGUUCUAGGUGAAGUUCAACCUUAACAGGUCUUUACUGAAACACUGGUAUAUUGAAACAGCAAUUGGAACAGAGGACACAAUGGGCCCUCGAGAUCUGGUGGGGGAUUGCUGAAAUCUGAGAUGGGCUCUAGGCCCAUAUUGCAAUUUCUGAAAAAUCUCUAAGGGCCCAUGUGGGUUAUAUGGCACUAGGUGUGGUGGGAAGUUUAGUCCCACCCCGGAAGUGGAAGGAGAGUUGGAGUGGUUUAUAAGGGUUUCUCUUCUACAUGCUAUUGGAGCUUGAGAAGAGAAGAGCCCUCGCGCACUCCUCCUCCGCCGCCCGCCUCGCCACGCCACGCCACGCCUCGUCACGACGCGCCGCGGGUUGCGGGAUUGAGCCGAGCCGAGCUCACACCUACGCGCUUAUUUUUGCCAGUCACUAACGGAGAGUUUUCUGACAGCUGGGCCACGAUCUGAGACGUCGGAUCGUGGGGCUGUCACGGACUCGGACGUGGGUCGAGCCCACGUCUCUCCACGCGGCUGCGCCUAUAAGUAUGCGGUGUCUCCUAACCCUAGCCGCCACGAACAGAUCACAUCUGCUCACGCGCACGCCCACCGUCGUUCCUCUGCUGCUGCUGCCGCCGGUGACUCCAUCCCGUCCGCCACGUACACGGUCGACGGGAGAGCAGGUCUCCGAAACCACGCCCUUCUGGUUCCUGUACGGGGUGAGGGGCGAAUAGGUUUUUGGGCAGCGAUUACGCGACUGCUCGCUUCCGAUCGUCUACUUCCUCUACGUCCGCGUCGCCUUCGUCAUCACCAUGUCCACCGACGCCGACCGUGCCGCCGCCGAGAAAGCUGAAGCUGACAAGAAGGUCGCCGAGGACGCCGCUGCUGCCACCAAAGCCGCGGCCUCUGCGUGGCCUACUGGAGGGUAUAACUCGUUUAUCCCGCUCUUGAUUAUUUUCAUAUUAGCAGUACUAGCAGUAUGUGUAGAUUUGUCUACUGUUUGCUUAGUACGUGCAUGUUUAGAUCAGAGUGAGUACGUCAUCAACUUAGUCAAUGCCAUGCUAGUGAUUUACUCAUGGAUUAAUUUAAUCGAGAAAUUGCCUAUUUACUCAACAUAACCCGGCCGGACUUGACGAUUCACUAAUGACCCACCCUAACUGGACGACGCACUAAGUGGCCCGCCCAAUCCUGGCGACUUAUGGGUGACCUGGCAAGCGGAUCAGAGGAGCGACAAGACCCGGGGGCCCAGGAGGCUCAAGGCCCAGAAGGCCGGCUUACGUUAUGAUAGGCCGGCUUAAGAGGAAAGGCGUAAGGAGUAUCUCCCUUACAAGGAAUCAAGACCCGGACUUGUAUCCGGCUUGUAGUACAAGAUAGGCUAGUCCUACUAGGACUCCACAUGUAACCCGCCCCUCUAACUUAUAUAAGGAGGGGAGGGCUCCCCAAAGAGGAAAAAAGCAACAAGAAAUAAUAUCUAGGGCUAGACACAAAGGGGGAGCCGGCUUACGGCGACUCUUCUCAUGAGCAUAAUGAGACCUGGCCACAAACAACAUGUAGGGUUGUUACCGGAUGAUGUUUCCCGGGGCCCGAAGCUGUCUAAAUCCUUGUCUUGCGUGUUGCGUUACUCGUCCCGAUCAACCCCUCGCUACCACAUAGAUGCGUUGGCCUCGCGAUUAAGUCUUGACACUAAGGACAUCUGACGUGUUGAUUCCACGACAACCUUCAUUGUUGAUCCCGUGGAUUCGCCUCUCCUCUGCCUACUGCUUCGGUGGUCGGCGGGGGCAGAGGGAUCUUGAUGUCUCGCUUUCGGCUAGUAGAUAGGUUAUGGUUUUAGCCCUUGCAGGGCGACACUUGAACAUAUGGUGUCUCUUAUUCUUCGAGUCGGUCAUCGGGCUUUGAUCUUUCUCAAGUUUGUUAGUCGAAACGGAUUAGACGGAGCUUCGGUGUGGAUUUCUGUCAGCUCCUCGGGACAACGAGGUUAGGGUUACUUGUCAUGCAUAUACGGAGGCAAGAUUUGUAGUCAGGUUCCCUAGAUCGAUUCAAGGGUUCAACGACGACGACUGUGGCUCCGAGCUGCUGGUCCUAGGGCCACAUGCAUAAAGGCUUCCUGGCUGUCAUCGACAUGGUCAGUCCAGCUCCGGUAUGAGAGGGCCAUUGAGGCGCGUCAGCGGCAAGGUGAUCCAGGAAUAUUGAUGCACUUUUUUUUUAUUAUAUUUGAUGAAGUGCUUUAUAUUUCUUGUAAACUUUUAUAAUAAUAAUAGAUCCUAAUCUAUUUUUUGCGGCAAAAAAAGGGUUAGCUUCGGCUAAACUGGCCCUCCCCGCGACCACGUCGUCCCCGCGGGCGAUCGGUCGCGCCUCGCCACCCCUCCCAGCGAGCGUUCCCCUUCUCCUCCUCCUCCCCGCCGCCGUCACUGGCGCGCGUCUCGGGCCUGGCCCGGGCGACGCUGGCGGCGGCGGCCCCUCGGCCUUUCCCCUCCCAGGGUUCUUCCGGCGCGGGACGGGGCGACUCCNNNNNNNNNNNNNNNNNNNNNNNNNNNNNNNNNNNNNNNNNNNNNNNNNNNNNNNNNNNNNNNNNNNNNNNNNNNNNNNNNNNNNNNNNNNNNNNNNNNNNNNNNNNNNNNNNNNNNNNNNNNNNNNNNNNNNNNNNNNNNNNNNNNNNNNNNNNNNNNNNNNNNNNNNNNNNNNNNNNNNNNNNNNNNNNNNNNNNNNNNNNNNNNNNNNNNNNNNNNNNNNNNNNNNNNNNNNNNNNNNNNNNNNNNNNNNNNNNNNNNNNNNNNNNNNNNNNNNNNNNNNNNNNNNNNNNNNNGUCGUUGACGACGGGGUAGCGCGGUGGCGCGGGCUGGCGGCGCUCGCCCGACCCAGAUCUGGACCCUUCGGGUCCCAUCUGGGCCGGGGCGGCCCGGCAUCGGGCGUGGCGUCUGCGGGGCUCUCGGGCGACGGUGGUGAGGUGUCCGGCUGGUGGCGGGCGGCGGCUUCGGCUGCCGGCGUGCAGCAGCGCCGUGGCUAGGGCUUUGCUGUCCCGCUAUGGGCCCUGCCAGGCCCGGGUGGCCUGGUUUGCCCUGGCUGCGGCGCCCGGUCGGCAAUCCGCAUCGGUGCGGGAGGCAGAGGCCUCCUGCGCGAUGGCGGUGGAGGCGGUUCCCUCCCGUUCGGCUCUGGUGCUCCCGUCCGUGCCAUCUAGGUGCAUCUCGCCUCUGUUUGCUUGUCCUCGUGGUGGUGCUCGCAGCAAGACGGCGUGGAUGGGUCCAAGACUGUGGUGGCACGUGCUGGCGGGUGGCAAGACGGUGGUUUGGCUCCAUUCUAGUGGGUGCCGGGGCAUGGGGGUGCGGGAGAAAUCUCUGCCGGCUCUUCCGGCUCCGACGUGGUGACGCCGGUGGGUUCCGCCAUUCCUUCCUGAAGGGCGUCGGUGCUACCCAUCCCCCGUUCCCCUUUUGCGUGUCGGGGGAAACCCUAGGACUUGUCCGGACAGCAGCGUUAUUGGCGUCGCAUUCCUUCUUGGAGGGCUCUUACAAAAUUCACUCUGUUUCUUCCGCCCCCAGUGCCCUGCUCUGGUUAAUUUGAUCUGUUAUUUAAUGCAGUAGGAGGGCGCUGUUGCGGAGGAUGGCAAGAGCCCAAGCAUCUGAUCUGGGACAACUUCACUCACGCAGGUAAUCAACGAACUUGUCGGUCUCCGUCAGUUUUCAAAACAAAACACAAAUAUGUUCGCUUCUGAUGGGUACUUUGUGAUUUUAUACACUCAAAUUAGCCAAUAUUAGAGCAGGGUAUACACAAAUGAGAGAGUAUAUAAUCAGUUGGUAAGCAACAUGUCUUUCUAUCCAUUUCGCAAGGUAGCUAGGGCAAAGCCUUCCUUCCCUCUAUCUCCAUUGUUGAUCCUGUGGAUUCGCCUCUCCUCUGCCCACCGCUUCGGUGGUCGGCGGGGGCAGAGGGAUCUUGAUGUCUCGCUUUCGGCUAGUAGAUAGGUUAUGGUUUUAGCCCUUGCAGGGCGACACUUGAACAUAUGGUGUCUCUUAUUCUUCGAGUCAGUCAUCGGGCUUCGAUCUUCCUCAAGUUCGUUCUUCGAAACGGAUUAGACGGAGCUUCGGUGUGGAUUUCUGUCAGCUCCUCGGGACAACGAGGUUAGGGUUACUUGCCAUGCAUACACGGAGGCAAGAUUUGUAGUCAGGUUCCCUAGAUUGAUUCAAGGGUUCAACGACGACGAUGACGACGACUGUGGCUCCUGGGCGUUGCUCCUAGAGCCACAUGCAUAAAGACUUUCUUGUCUGUCCCCGAUAAGGUUAUUUCAACUUUUGUAUCAGAGAGCCACUGAGGAGCGUCAACGGCAAGGUGAUCCAGGAAUAUCAAUGUAUCUUUUGUUAUUAUAUGUUUGAAGUGCUUUAUACUUCUGUAAACUUUUAUAAUACUCCAUAUCCUAAUGUUUUUUGGCAAAAAUAAUUAGUUGGUGGAGUUUGAAAGUAGAGUUGGCUUUGCCAACAACCAAUCCGACAACUUGUUGACAUAACGUGUCACGGUUUCUUGCGCACUAGACCACAAGUAGGAUAGGAUAGGAGCGUACCAACCGUAUAAUUUCCCGGGAAUCUUUGGUUUCUUAAACUUAAUAAUAAAAUCAAAAAAGAAAAGAAAAGAAAAGAAGACAGGACAAUAACCAAAGACUUGACUUCCCCCCGAGGUGCCUUCGGAGAAGAAACAAAACCACGGACCUGCAGCGGGUCAAGGUCUCCUCCUCCUCCUCCUCACACCACGGAGCUCCAUUGCGACCAACAGGUGCACACACGCUCUUCCUUAUCUUAGCUUAGAUUCCGUCUCUGCUGGGAGGCCUCUGGCCGCCCGGGCUGCGCAGGCGCGGCGGAGGAGGCCGCACUUUGUGCUCCUGGAUCUGGCAGCCGGACCUAGGUUGUCGCGUGGAAAUGGCAAAUCCAGUCCCCGUAUCAGGGUGACAUGCCAUUCUGAUCCGAUUUCUGCUCCUGAGCAUAAAUAAAUACUCAUCCCCUCUUCUUCCAUGCUGCAGAGUCAACCAACUAUCUCCUGAUGUGAUUGUCAAGUUUCAUCUUUGGAUGAGAGCUGUGUCCCCCGUGCUUGUUGAUGCCAAAUCGCUAACCCGUGGUCAAUCUUUCCUGUCAGUUGCGCACGCUGCUCGGCCCCCAACCUAUUCUGCUUGACUGACUGAACAGUUGUUUUGUCACCAGGUAAUGAUUUUGAUUGUGCUCAGUUUCCCUCAAAAAAGAUAAAAAAUUGAUUUUGACUGAAUAUGCACCAUGUCAGAUUAGUUCAUUCACAGCUUGCAAGUUUCCCAACACAACUAAAAUCGCAUGUUGAACAACCAACUACCUUCCCAGAAACCACAUACCAUGUAAUUAGCACUCUCCUUGUAUAAUUAUUAGUACCCUCUCCUUCGAAGAAGCACACUUCUAGCAUUUUUCUGACCUGUAUAACAACUGCAACUAUUUUGUUCCAUAAUAAGCAUUAGAGUUGCAUAGUUGAUACAACUAUAUUCAAGUCAAGAGUGUCAAGUCAUGCAAACGUGCGUGUAGUACUAUGUAUUAACAUGUCUUAAAUCUUUCCUUCCUUCAUGCUACGGUUUAUCAGGCCCAUGAGCAAAACUCUAUAUCUCUUUUCUUAUCACGGACCCUGUUAGUACUUUUGUCUGAUUAUCUCAGUGUCAGUCUGUCAGACGACAAAAAGUGUUGAUUAUACAUAUUUAUCUAGUACUGGUAGUACAUUGACACCAGGUAUCUUCUCCCAUGAUACAUUAAUAAAAAAAAUUCUUAAAUAUCAACAGAGCUACUCGUUCCAUCCAUGCACGAAACCAGUGGAGUAAUGUCAACAAACCUAUAAAUUUUCAGUUCGAAAACUAGUGGAAGUAAAACAACCAUUGGAGAAAGUUUCUCUCUGUUCAUACAAGCUAAGCUAACUCUCGACUUAAUUUUCUUGGAUGAAAUUGGUUAUUGCCCCAUUUAACAUAUUGAUCUAUAUUUAUUUUGUUCAGGACAAAUGGCGGAGGCGGUGCUCGUUGCUCUCGGAAAGAUUGGGAAUGUCUUAGCUGAUGAAGCUACCAAGGCUUUGCUGGCCAAGCUGUCAGAAAAAGUUAGUAAUCUGAUUGAUCUGGAUGACAAGAUUGAGGGAAUAGCGAAGCAAUUAAAUACAAUGAAGAACGUCAUACAGCAGAUAGGCACGCCGUACCUAGCCGACAAAGUCGUAAAGGGUUGGAUUGGGGAGGUGAGGAAGUUGGCCUACCAUGUUGAGGAUGUGAUGGACAAAUACUCAUAUCACUCUCUUCAUGUGGAAAAAGGGUUUCUGAAGAAGUGCCUCAAAGGAUCACAUUAUGUCCGGGUUUUUAGUCAAAUUGCCGAUGAGGUAGUCAAGAUAGAGAAGGAGAUAAAGCAAGUUAUCGGACUCAAGGAGCAAUGGCUGCAACCAUCCCAGCUUGUUCAUGACCCGUGCACUGAGAUGGAAAGACAACGGUCCCAAGAUAUCUUCCCUGAACUUGUGAAAGAUGAAGAUCUUAUUGGAAUUGAAGAUAACAGGAGAAUGAUGACUGAAUGGUUGUACUCGGAUGAGAUGGAGACUACGGUGAUAACGGUGUCGGGUAUGGGUGGGUUGGGAAAAACAACCCUCGUCACAAAUGUGUAUGAACGUGAAAAGAUCAACUUCCAAACAAGUGCGUGGAUGGUUGUGUCUCAGACCUACAGUUUGGAUGCUCUGUUGAGGAAGUUACUCGAGAAGGUUACCGAACAACCAUCAUCACCUAACAUUGACAGGAUGGAUGUGCAUGACUUGAAGGAAGAAAUAAAGCGAAAGCUUAAAGAUAGGAAAUGUUUAAUUGUAUUGGAUGAUGUCUGGAACAAGGAAGUGUACUCUCAAAUGCGAGAUGCAUUCCAGAAUUCUCAUGCAAGUCGCAUCAUCAUCACAACGCGGAACAAUCAUGUUGCUGCUGUUGCUCACUUGACACGCCGUAUCGUUCUCAAGCCUUUGGGGAAUGCUCACGCAUUCGAACUCUUCUGCAGGAGGGUCUUUUAUAUCAAGAAGGACCAUGAGUAUGAGUGUCCCAAUCAUCUCAUGAAAACUGCUAGGUCUAUAGUUGAUAGAUGUCAGGGUCUGCCACUAGCAAUUUUAUCAAUAGGUGGUGUUUUGUCUUCGAGGCCACAAACACAAUACUCUUGGGAGCAGAUAUACAAUCAACUCUCAACUGAGCUGUCGAAGAAUGAUCAUCUCCGGGCAGUUUUAAAUCUGAGCUACCAUGACCUAUCUGGAGACCUCAGAAACUGCCUUUUGUAUUGCAGCCUUUUCCCGGAAGACUACCCGAUGUCACGUGAGAGCCUUGUGAGGCUGUGGGUUGCAGAAGGCUUUGUGUGUAGCAAAGGAAAUAGCACCCCGGAGGAGGUGGCCGAGGGAAACCUGACGGAACUGAUAUACCGCAAUAUGCUUGAAGUCAAGGAGACAGAUGAACUGGGAAGGGUGAGCACCUGUACGAUGCAUGAUAUUGUGCGAGACCUGGCUCUUUGUGUUGCAAGCGAGGAGCAGUUUGUAUGUGCAAAUGAUUAUGCCACAUUGAUACAUAUGAAUAAGGAUGUUCGUCGUCUGUCAUCAUGUGGAUGGAAAGGCAAUACUGCACUGAAAAUUAAGCUUCCCCGUCUUCGAACUCUAGUGUCAGUAGGAGCAAUUUCAUCCAUGCCUGCCAUGCCGUUCUCAGUUUCGUCAGAAUCCAGCUACCUGACUGUCCUCGAGCUACAAGACUCUGAAAUCACUGAAGUGCCGGCAUGGAUAGGUACACUCUUCAAUUUACAUUACAUUGGCUUACGCCGCACCAAGGUGAGGUCACUCCCAGACUCUGUUGAGAAACUAUCGAACCUGCAAACUCUGGACAUCAAGCAAACUAACAUAGAGACCCUACCAAGAGGGAUUGCUAAGAUCAAGAAUCUACGGCACCUCUUAGCUGAUAGAUAUGCUGAUGAGAAGCAGACGGAGUUUCGAUACUUUGUCGGAAUUCAAGCACCGAAAGAACUGCCCAACAUUGAAGGGCUGCAGACUCUUGAGACCAUCCAAGCCAACAAAGACUUGGCUGAGCAGCUGGAGAGAAUGGUGCAAUUGCGAACUCUGUGGAUUGACAACAUAAGUUCUGCUGAAUGCGCAACUAUUUUUGCUGCCCUGUCAAAUAUGCCGCUUCUUUCCAGUCUGCUUCUUGCUGGAAGAGAUGAGAACGAGGCACUUUGUUUCGAGUCCCUCCAGCCAAUGUCCACACAUCUCCACAAGCUGAUCAUCAGAGGGAAAUGGGCCAAGGGAACGCUGGAGUGCCCGAUAUUCCGCAGCCACGGAGAAAAUCUCAAGUAUCUAGCUCUAAGCUGGUGUCACCUUUGGGAAGACGAGGAUCCACUGGGGAUGCUUGCACCACACUUGCCAAACCUCACAUAUCUGCGGCUCAACAACAUGCGCAGUGCAAACAUUUUGGUUCUUUCUGCAGAUUCCUUCCCUCACCUGAAGAGCCUUACACUGAAGCACAUGCAUAAUGUCAACGAGCUAAAGAUCAUCGAUGGCGCCCUUCCGAGCAUCGAAGGUUUGUAUGUCGUGUCAUUGUCGAAGCUGGAUAAGGUCCCUCAAGGCAUUGAAUCCCUUAGUUCCCUGAAGAAGCUCUGGCUGCUGGGCUUGCACGGGGGCUUCAAAGCUCAGUGGGACAAGAACGGAAUGCAGCAGAAGAUGGUGCAUGUUCAGGAGCUUCGUGUCUGAAUGUGGCACAGCGGUUCUUUCUGCAGUGGCUUUAAUCAUUCUGGUAUGUUAUAAUUAUUAAGACAUCAUUUGCGAGCCUUGUACUUCUAUAUCGUGAUACGAUUUCUGUUUUCAGGAGGCCCUGUAUUUCAGUUUGAUGCUGUAAUACUGAUUUCAGGAAACAGUUGUGUCGAACAUGUGAGAAAACAAUGUUGUGGAAUUUGUUUACCUUGUUGUUAGUAGAUACCGCCCGAUCUAUGUUUCUGCUGCAUCCUGGUUGUCGUUCUCGAAGAGGCACAUCCUCGACCGAUACUGAUUUCCGUGUCCAAGUGAAGCCCCUGCUCGAGUUGAGAGUCCGAGAGGCGGGAUUUUGUAGGAGCUCAACUCAAAAACUGCUGUGUUUUAUGUGAAGAAAAUGUUUUUUUUAGUAGCAGUUGUUUUAAUUCCGGUUUAGGCCGCUGCCUGGAGUUUGUACAGCUUUACUGAUCCUUCAUAGGUUGUACCCUGUACAUCAGUAGCACAAAUGCCAAGCCUGAUCACCGAGUCUGGAGUUAAGCUCUGGUCAGGGGAAAAAAAUGCCCUUUAAUUUCUUAGUCCUCUCAGGUUGACUGGGGAGCUGUUCUUUGACGUAAUGCCCAUGAAAAAGAGUUUCAUAAAUUUUAUUCGCCAUGGCAACACAAAAGAGCCGCUUCGGUGCAUCCUCUAAUCGAAUCAACGGUGGAGAGUAAAACAUACGCCUAGAUAUCUUAGGUACACUGCCGAUGUGCAUGUAGGAUUAUUAGACACUUGUAAGCACAAGAUUAUCUCACCACCCGUCCAUGUGCUUCAACAGUCGGAUUUGAUGGACACACGUGGUUUGGUCACUCGUUGCUGUCAAAAAAGUAAUGAGAGUUGGGGACCGUUUGAGCAGGCAGGAUGAGCGAUAAGCUAACCUGUCAUGGCCACAAAGGCACAUAUCAUCAGUACAGAUACAGACAGGCCGCUGCCAUGGCCUUCUUCUUCGUCUUGCUCCUCGCCGCCCAUGGCGCGGCCCCUGCUCUUGGCUUCACGCGGAGCGACUUCCCGCCGGACUUCGUCUUCGGCGCCGCCACCUCCGCGUACCAGGUAACCGUGCAUUUGUUUCCCUUGGUCAGCUGGUUUCUCUGUUAAUUUGCUCUGUUUUUUUAUGCAGUAUGAGGGCGCCGUGGCUGAGGACGGCAGGAGCCCAAGCAUCUGGGACACCUUCACUCACAUUGGUAAUCAACGAACUUGUCGGUUUUGUGCAGGUGUUGAUCAAAUCUGUUUCCAAAACAAAACAAAAUCUGCUUGCCUCUGAAUGACAGGGAAAAUGGCGGACAAAAGCACAGGGGACGUCGCUUCUGACGGGUACCACAAGUACAAGGUAAUCACGGUGAAAGUUUACAUGGCCGACAUGGAUGAUAACCUGAACAUUCUGUGGAAGGGAAAAAAAAUGUCCGAUUGUUGUUUGUUUCAGAUUAUACUAAUCCUGGGCAGUAUCAUCCGACAUUUCAGGAUGAUGUCAAGCUCAUGGCUGACACUAACCUGGAGGCUUACAGAUUCUCCAUCUCCUGGCCAAGGCUUAUUCCAAGUAUAAAAGCUUUCCACAAUAUCUCUACUGCUGUAUAAAAUGAAUUUGCACGGACAAUAAUAACUGAUCUUUGGCUUGCAGAUGGGAGGGGAGCUGUCAAUCCAAAGGGGUUAGAGUACUACAACAACCUUAUAAAUGAGCUGGUGAAACAUGGUAAGCUUAUUUAGAGUAAAAUAGCUUAUAAAUUCGAAUAUACUGACAAACUUUUUCAUCUUUCAACAAUAUACUACUCCUUCUGUAAAGAAAUAUAGUGAUCUAAACACUCUUAUAUUUCUUUACGGAGGGAGUACAUGAGAAGCUGCGGAAAUCUACCAUAGUUUUCUAAAAAAUAUUCGUUCCUUUAUUCUUCACUAUCUGAACCACAAUGUCCUUGCUGUUUAGGGAUUCAAAUCCAUGUGAUGCUUUACCAUCUCGAUUUCCCGCAAGUUUUGGAUGAUGAAUAUGGAGGAUGGUUAAGCCCUUGAGUUGUGUAAGAACCUGUAAUUUUUCCAUUGUGGUGAUGAAAUUUCUCAAAAUCUGAAAUUGAUCAACCUUUUUUGGAAUUUAGAUCAUUGAGGUCGUCUAUGCAAAAUUAUGUGCAGAUAAUUGAAUGAUCCCUACUUUCUCAGUUACAUAUUUCCUAACAGGUGGUACUGCAAAAUGCAGGGAGGAUUUCACGGCAUUUGCAGAUGUAUGCUUUAGAGAGUUUGGAGACAGGGUUUCCUUUUGGACUACGAUCAGCGAACCUAAUGUCGUCCCAGCCGACUCUUACGGUAGUGGAAAAUUUCCACCCGGGCGUUGCUCUGAUCCUUUUGGGCGAACAAAAUGUACCGCGGGGAACUCAACCGUGGAACCGUACAUAGCAGCUCAUAACAUGAUACUGGCACAUGCAUCUGUUACUAGACUUUACAGAGAAAAAUAUCGAGUGAGUUAUCUUGUGCCAAAUAUUAACAACUCUUUUUUGCCGGCAGAUUUAAGUUGUAAUCUAAGAUUAAUUUUGAAACACUAGUAUUGUCAAACCAAUCCAGAAGAAAGUACUUGUUAACUGCAUAAUUUACUACGGAGUCUUCAUGAUUGCAAUUUUUUUGUAUAAUAUUAUAUUUUCUAUGUUUUAGAAACAAUAUUUGUAUGCUAACAAAAAUAUUCUUGUGUGUAGGCCGUGCAAAUGGGAGUUGUUGGCAUAAAUGUUUACUCCCAUUGGACUUAUCCUUUGACGAACUCUACUCUUGAUUUAGCAGCAAACAAAAGAUAUCAGGACUUCCUGUUCGGUUUGUAUGCUGUUUUGACUCUUACCUUUGCUUCUAGAUUCUGAAAUUAAACGUGUAACAAACAUGCAGCUAACCAAUCAAUUUGUGAUAUUUCGUAGGAUACUAGAACCCUUGGUGUUCGGAGAUUACCCCCGAGUGAUAAAGACGAAUGCUGGUUCCCGCCUUCCAUCCUUCACAAAACUACAAUCUGAAUUUGUCAAGGGUGCUAUUGAUUUCAUAGGAAUAAAUCACUACUAUUCUGUCUAUGCGAGCGAUCGUCCUCUAAAGAAUGGUGUUCGCGACUAUGCAGCAGACAUGUCAGUUUACAAGAGAGGUAAGAAAAUUUUAUAUUUGCAUUGGCGUAUUGCUCCAUCAUUGUUCAUGAGUUUAGCGGCUAAAAUUGGGAAUUUGACUCAUUUAUCUAACACAACUUGUUAAGGCAUAUAGAAAUGUUUGUUUUUUGCGAUGGGUGAUAGAAAUGUGUUAACAGAUGUACUGACCAAAUAGUGUAUCGAAGCUUUCGAAACAUAUACUAACAAGUUAUUUGCUUCUUUGAUGCAGCUUCUAGAACAGACCCGGCAGUAAGUGAGGUAAAGUUUUCCGAUAUUGACUGAUAAAUAUGCUACUAGCUUCAGCUGUUUUGGACAUAAAGUAUAGGUGAAUUAGGAAUUCUGACUCAUACAGUAAGCAAGCAAUCUUAAUUGUGCCCAUUUUGCGAGCUGUGACAAAAAGAUGCUACUACUUUUUAUUUUGAAUGCAGGAUGUGCCAACAGCAUUUCCAGAUGACCCAAAAGGAUUACAAUUUGUGUUGCAGUACCUGGCAAAAGUCUAUGGUGACCUGCCCAUUUAUGUCCAAGAGAAUGGCAAGUCGAUCUUGUUUCUGAUCACUACAAUCUCCAAUAUUUUUAUCAAGCUCUCAUCUUAAAUAUCCGAUUCAGUAGAAUUUGAUAAAAUUAUGUCGAUGUGUUAUGCUUCUAGUCCAUUCUGUCUGAUGAGACCUGUCUUCUACCACGUCCUUCCUCUCUACAGGUAAGGCAUCUACCAACGACACUCUCGAUGACACUGACAGGGUCAAAUACUUGAAGAGCUACAUAGGGAGCACACUGGCGGCAUUAAGGUUAGUCAUUCAAACAAACCCACGAGAAAUGCAGUUGCAGGCACUGUAGAAUUUUCAGGGCUCAGUUACCAUGAUGCGGUUUUCGCUCUGCAGAACCGGAGUCAAUGUGAAAGGUUACUUUGCGUGGAACUUCAUGGACAUGUUCGAGUUCCUCGCAGGGUACAAUACACGGUACGGCCUGUACCGUGUCGACUUCGACGAUGAGGCGCGGCCAAGGGAGGCCAGGCUCUCUGCUUGCUGGUACUCCAGCUUUCUGGAAAACAAUGGCAUCCAUUUUCGGAGCGAGCUCGAUAAUAAAGGAUCCCAUGCUCAACAGUGAGUUAUAUAAUCAGAUAAAUUGAGCUGUUCAUUAAUCUAGUCCCAUGCAUGGGGAAACACUGGAUUCAUCUGGGUGAAAGGAAUUGGUGUAAGUAAAUAAUUUGCUUUUUCUAUAUGUAUGAUGGGAGUUAAUUGCAGAAAACGACCAGAUUUUCAGGAUACACAGGUUCACAGAUUUGAUACGAAACCCCCCUAAUUCUCAGCCUAAUCAUUUACAAAAAAAAAAAC
rnacentral:lncRNA from 1 species